rnacentral:sRNA from 1 species
CAGUAUGGGCGUGUGUGGGUGUGGGUGUGUGAGAUACGCCGCAGGUCUCCCAGAUUCAUGAGUCAGUACGCGUGUGUGUUAUACUGUAGGUCUCCUAGAUUCUAGCCUUCUAGCCUCCAUCUGCUCAGGGUAGACCUGGGCGCAGUGAGCAGAGGGCGGGGCAUUGGGCCAUGUCCAGAAAGCUGAAGUGUGACGCUGUGCUCCUGCUUAGGCCCCUGGUUGCUAAGGCUCAGAGUAUGGGGAGAAGAAGGGCUGCUACCCUGUUGGAUGGAGUAUGCAGGGCAUCUUCCUGCCAGCUCUGCCCAGGGUACCAUAUUGGCAUGCACCAGCUGCACAGGUUGGCGAGCCUAUGUAUGUGAGAACAAGGUGGCUCCUUCAGGGCUGGCCAAGUCUCUAGCCAAGACCCCUGAACUCAGCCAGGACAGUGGGGAGCCAUGGUGGGCAGCAGAGCUUGUGGGAGGCAAAGGCCUGCGGAGAGUCGGCCAUGGGGCACAGGCACUCUAGGUUACCUUGACCACUGUGGCCCUGCCAGCUGCAUUCCUGGUAGCUCAACUGCCCACCAGGCCCAGCUGCCUCCAUCUCACGGUGCAGCUGGUGGGAAGGUUAGUUCUGCCUCCUGGGCUACAGGUGUCUGGGCAUUUGUUCUGUGCCUGUGGAACCCCUCUGGGCCUGCCCCCUGACCACCUGUGCCCUCUGUUCCAGGUGCUGGAGAGUCAGGGAAGAGCACCAUCGUCAAGCAGAUGAAGUAAGUGCUGUAUCCCAGAGGCAGUGCUCAAACUCCAGCUUCCCCUCUUCAUCUUCUGGGCCUGCACUGCCUCUGACUACAGGCCCAGCCAGUCUUAGCCAGGCCCAGAAUCUUCUCAGAGGCAGUCACUUAUCCUCAGGUCCCAGUGGGUCAGGGGCAGUUUUCCCUUCUCUGAAGCAGGUCCCAGCAGCCCCAGGCAGCCGUGGGAACUCCCAGUGCCCUGGGGACACUAACCUUCCUGGUCCCUGGCUAUCAGGAUCAUCCACGAGGAUGGCUACUCUGAGGAGGAAUGCCGGCAGUACCGGGCGGUUGUCUACAGCAACACCAUCCAGUCCAUCAUGGCCAUUGUCAAAGCCAUGGGCAACCUGCAGAUCGACUUUGCUGACCCCUCCAGAGCGGACGACGCCAGGCAGCUAUUUGCACUGUCCUGCACCGCCGAGGAGCAAGGCGUGCUCCCUGAUGACCUGUCCGGCGUCAUCCGGAGGCUCUGGGCUGACCAUGGUGUGCAGGCCUGCUUUGGCCGCUCAAGGGAAUACCAGCUCAACGACUCAGCUGCCUACUACCUGAACGACCUGGAGCGCAUUGCACAGAGUGACUACAUCCCCACACAGCAAGAUGUGCUACGGACCCGCGUAAAGACCACGGGGAUCGUGGAGACACACUUCACCUUCAAGGACCUACACUUCAAGAUGUUUGAUGUGGGUGGUCAGCGGUCUGAGCGGAAGAAGUGGAUCCACUGCUUUGAGGGCGUCACAGCCAUCAUCUUCUGUGUAGCCUUGAGCGCCUAUGACUUGGUGCUAGCUGAGGACGAGGAGAUGAACCGCAUGCAUGAGAGCAUGAAGCUAUUUGACAGCAUCUGCAACAACAAGUGGUUCACAGACACGUCCAUCAUCCUCUUCCUCAACAAGAAGGACCUGUUCGAGGAGAAGAUCACACACAGUCCCCUGACCAUCUGCUUCCCUGAGUACACAGGGGCCAACAAGUAUGAUGAGGCAGCCAGCUACAUCCAGAGUAAGUUUGAGGACCUGAAUAAGCGCAAAGACACCAAGGAGAUCUACACGCACUUCACGUGUGCCACCGACACCAAGAACGUGCAGUUCGUGUUUGACGCCGUCACCGACGUCAUCAUCAAGAACAACCUGAAGGACUGCGGCCUCUUCUGAGGGGCAGCGGGGCCUGGCGGGAUGGGCCACCGCCGACUUUGUACCCCCCAACCCCUGAGGAAGAUGGGGGCAAGAAGACCACGUUCCCCGCCUAUUCCCCCGGCCGCUUUUCUCCUCUUUCCUCUCUUUGUUCUCAGCUCCCCCCGUCCCCUCAGCUCCAGACGUAGGGGAGGGGUUGCCACAGGCCUCCCUGUUUGAAGCCUGCCCUUGUCUGAGGUGCUGGUAAUGGCCAUGGUACCCCCUUCUGGGCAUCUGUUCUGGUUUUUAACCAUUGUCUUGUUCUGUGAUGAGGGGAGGGGGGCACAUGCUGAGUCUCCCAAGGCUGCGUCUGGAGGGGCCCCUGCUUCUCCAGCCUGGACCCCCAGCUUUGCCCAACACCAGCCCCUGCCCAGCCCAAGUCCAAAUGUUUACAGGGAGCCUCCUGCCCAGUCCCCCACCCCCAGCCGCUCGGAGGCCCCAAAGGAAAAAGCACAAGAAGCGUGAGACGCCACCAUUCCUGGAAACCACAGUCCACCUGCUCAUUCUCGUAGCUUUUUAAAAAAAUGAAAGU